AUAAAGGAUAAUUAGUGGCAGACGGGUGAGUAAUGCAUAGGAAUCUACCUAGUAGUAUGGGAUAGCCACUAGAAAUGGUGGGUAAUACUGUAUAAUCCCUGCGGGGGAAAGAUUUAUCGCUAUUAGAUGAGCCUAUGUUAGAUUAGCUAGUUGGUAGGGUAAAGGCCUACCAAGGCGAUGAUCUAUAGCUGGUCUGAGAGGAUGAUCAGCCACACUGGAACUGAGAUACGGUCCAGACUCCUACGGGAGGCAGCAGUGGGGAAUAUUGGACAAUGGGCGCAAGCCUGAUCCAGCUAUGCCGCGUGAGUGAGGAAGGCCUUAGGGUUGUAAAACUCUUUCAGUAGGGAAGAUAAUGACGGUACCUACAGAAGAAGUCCCGGCAAACUCCGUGCCAGCAGCCGCGGUAAUACGGAGGGGGCAAGCGUUGUUCGGAAUUAUUGGGCGUAAAGGGCAUGUAGGCGGUUCGGUAAGUUAAAGGUGAAAUGCCAGGGCUUAAC
rnacentral:rRNA from 1 species